UACGUAGGGUGCAAGCGUUUAAUCGGAAUUACUGGGCGUAAAGCGUGCGCAGGCGGUUGUGCAAGACAGAUGUGAAAUCCCCGGGCUCAACCUGGGAACUGCAUUUGUGACUGCACGGCUGGAGUGCGGCAGAGGGGGGAUGGAAUUCCGCGUGUAGCAGUGAAAUGCGUAGAUAUGCGGAGGAACACCGAUGGCGAAGGCAAUCCCCCUGGGCCUGCACUGACGCUCAUGCACGAAAGCGUGGGGAGCAAACAGG
rnacentral:rRNA from 1 species